AGCAGGGAAGCCGAAAACUGUAUAAUAGAGUAGGCG
rnacentral:ncRNA from 1 species